UGUGUAGAGGUGAGGAAAUAUACCGUGUUGUCUCUCCAGGUAAAUCCUUACCUCUCUCAGU
rnacentral:pre_miRNA from 1 species